rnacentral:tRNA from 1 species
GGGCGGUUAGCUCAGUUGGCUAGAGCGCUACGUUGACAUCGUAGAGGUCGUAGGUUCAAGUCCUAUACCGCCCA